GGGGCCGACUGGUUUUGACAGCGGGUCUAAUUGUACAGUAAGCAUGUCGAGCGCUGGAAUACAGCUCGUAAAUCUCAUAUUUCACACUUUUUAAACGGCGAGAAUAACUA
rnacentral:tmRNA from 1 species